rnacentral:rRNA from 1 species
AGAGUUUGAUCCUGGCUCAGGAUGAACGCUAGCGGCAGGCCUAAUACAUGCAAGUCGAACGGGCCAGCAAUGGUCAGUGGCGCACGGGUGCGUAACGCGUAUGCAACCUACCUUCUACUGGGGGAUAGCCUUCCGAAAGGAAGAUUAAUACCGCAUAACAUCACAUGAGGGCAUCUGAGUGUGAUCAAAGAUUUAUUGGUAGAAGAUGGGCAUGCGUGACAUUAGCUAGUUGGUGCAGGUAACGGCUCACCAAGGCUACGAUGUCUAGGGGUUCUGAGAGGAUGAUCCCCCACACUGGUACUGAGAUACGGACCAGACUCCUACGGGAGGCAGCAGUAGGGAAUAUUGGGCAAUGGGCGAAAGCCUGACCCAGCCAUGCCGCGUGCAGGAUGAAGGCCUUCUGGGUUGUAAACUGCUUUUAUCAGGGAAGAAAAAGCUCCUGCGGGAGCAACUGACGAUACCUGAGGAAUAAGCACCGGCUAACUCCGUGCCAGCAGCCGCGGUAAUACGGAGGGUGCAAGCGUUGUCCGGAUUUAUUGGGUUUAAAGGGUGCGUAGGCGGCCUUUUAAGUCAGUGGUGAAAGCCCAUAGCUCAACUAUGGAACUGCCAUUGAUACUGAAAGGCUUGAGUACAGACGAGGUUGGCGGAAUGGAUGGUGUAGCGGUGAAAUGCAUAGAUACCAUCCAGAACACCGAUUGCGAAGGCAGUCAGCUAAACUGGCACUGACGCUGAGGCACGAAAGCGUGGGGAUCAAACAGGAUUAGAUACCCCCGUAGUCC